rnacentral:rRNA from 1 species
CCCUUAGAUGUUCUGGGCAGCACGCGCGCUACAAUGGUCUUCGCAAACGGAUGCAUUCUCGAAGGAGAAUGCCAAUCUUGGAAUCUAUGCCUUGGUCGGGACAGUUGCUUGCAAUUUUUCGACUCGAACCAGUAAUUCCUUGUAAUCGUGAUUCAUCACAUCACGAUGAAUACGUCCCUGCCCUUUGUACACACCGCCCGUCGCUCCUACCGAUCGAAGAGUUAGGUGAAUUGUUUUGAUCGAUAAGAUUUGACUAUGGUCAACUCUCGUUGUGAAAUUCUGUGAAUCUGACUGUUUAGAGGAAGGAAAAGUCGUAACA